UUCUUUGUGUGAAACAAGUAUGUAAGGUUCACGCUGCAAAAGAGGAGCAAAAAGUAACAAGAAGAGGAAACGGCGCUUUUAUCUGUCGUUGACUUGAUCCUGUGGGAAAGAUUUGAUCCACACCAGUGGGACGAUACAGAAGUUUUAAAAAGAGGACUGGAUGAUUUACAGGGAGAAGAUGAUCUGCAGCAUCCUGCUCGUCCUCAGCCUGACCUCCUGUGUCUCUGGAAUAUUAGUAGUGAAUGUGACACAGACCUCCUAUCAGGCAGAGGAGAACCAGAACAUCACACUGGAGUGGACCUGGACCAGUAGUAACACUUCCCUCAAACACUUAUUUAUCACCUGCCAACUGUUAGCUGAACUC